rnacentral:lncRNA from 1 species
CUUGGAGGCUACAGAAACAAGGCCAGAGCUCAGACUCCACAGGGGUUUCUCCCUGAGAGUUCAUCCUGAGCUCACCACCCCUCAGCAUUUUCCCCACUGCUCUGGAGGGCUGUGGGGUGGCAUGGUCAGGAUGCCACACAAGGCCCAGCUCUGCUGUGUUGGUAGGGGUUGUGCUCUGUUCCAGUCAAAGUCAAGGCAGCAUAAACAGGUUGAUUGAUGUAGUUUUUUGUCCAGUAAAUAAACACAACAAAUUAAAAAUUAAAAAAAAAUGGGCAAGUGGAAGCUUCCAUGGUACUUCAGAGAAGACAGAGCAGGAAGGUGAGAGGAAUGAAGGAGCAGAAUAUGGAAUCCACCUGGAGACAAGGAAGCAGCAGACAUUGUCUGACAGCCUCUUUUAUGUCUGUCUAAAAAAAGAGACCCAUUAUUUCAGUGAAACCAAAGAAUGAAAAUUAAAAAGCAAAACAAUACAGAACAAUAGAAGACUUCUGCAAAAACAGUUUGACACUUGCUAUUGAUUGAAGUAAUGGAGCAGCGAGUUCUCCCAACUCGUAUAAAAUUUGGUCUUCUUUAAAAAUUCCUGUAAAAGAUACAGUGAUGUCGCUCCUGUGCUGUUCACGUGUCUGUUCUCACCUCGAGAUGUCAAAAGCUGAUGACUCCAACUUCAUGUACCAAAGCAGAACCUGUUUCUCCUGCCUCUGCCCUGCGUUCAGCAGCUGUCCUUGCCCAUGGUGCUGUACAGCAGCUGCUGCUGUGGGAGGCAGAGAGGUCCUGCUCACUCAAGCUGUGUCAGCUGGGGUACCUGGAGGAGCCCAUCUCUCUCCUGCAUCCUCUGAGAUCAGGGCCAGGCCUCAUCAAGAAGACAUUGCAGAGCAUUUCAGUGUUUUAAGGGCAACAUUCUUUAUAUAUAAGGGUUAUGAACCUUUCUGCAGCAAGAUUUGA